GAUGAACGCUGGCGGCGUGCCUAAUACAUGCAAGUCGAGCGAACAGACGAGGAGCUUGCUCCUCUGACGUUAGCGGCGGACGGGUGAGUAACACGUGGAUAACCUACCUAUAAGACUGAGAUAACUUCGGGAAACCGGAGCUAAUACCGGAUAACAUGUUGAACCGCAUGGUUCAACAGUGAAAGACGGUUUUGCUGUCACUUAUAGAUGGAUCCGCGUCGCAUUAGCUAGUUGGUAAGGUAACGGCUUACCAAGGCAACGAUGCGUAGCCGACCUGAGAGGGUGAUCGGCCACACUGGAACUGAGACACGGUCCAGACUCCUACGGGAGGCAGCAGUAGGGAAUCUUCCGCAAUGGGCGAAAGCCUGACGGAGCAACGCCGCGUGAGUGAAGAAGGUCUUCGGAUCGUAAAACUCUGUUAUUAGGGAAGAACAAAUGUGUAAGUAACUAUGCACGUCUUGACGGUACCUAAUCAGAAAGCCACGGCUAACUACGUG
rnacentral:rRNA from 1 species